rnacentral:tRNA from 1 species
AAAAAAUUAGUUAAAAUAUAACAUUAAAUUGUCAAUUUAAAAUUAUUAUCUUAUAAUAAUAUUUUUUU